rnacentral:rRNA from 1 species
UAAGGAAUAUUGGUCAAUGGGCGGAAGCCUGAACCAGCCAUGCCGCGUGCAGGAUGACUGCCCUAUGGGUUGUAAACUGCUUUUGUCCAGGAAUAAACCUAGAUACGUGUAUCUAGCUGAAUGUACUGGAAGAAUAAGGAUCGGCUAACUCCGUGCCAGCAGCCGCGGUAAUACGGAGGAUCCGAGCGUUAUCCGGAUUUAUUGGGUUUAAAGGGUGCGUAGGCGGCCUAUUAAGUCAGGGGUGAAAUACGGUGGCUCAACCAUCGCAGUGCCUUUGAUACUGAUGGGCUUGAAUCCAUUUGAAGUGGGCGGAAUAAGACAAGUAGCGGUGAAAUGCAUAGAUAUGUCUUAGAACUCCGAUUGCGAAGGCAGCUCACUAAGCUGGUAUUGACGCUGAUGCACGAAAGCGUGGGGAUCGAACAGGAUUAGAUACCCUGGUAGUCCACGCCCUAAACGAUGAUAACUCGAUGUUGGCGAUAGACAGCCAGCGUCCAAGCGAAAGCGUUAAGUUAUCCACCUGGGGAGUACGCCCGCAAGGGUGAAACUUAAAUGAAUUGACGGGGUCAUAGCUGUUUCCU